UACGUAGGGUGCAGGCGUUAAUCGGAAUUACUGGGCGUAAAGGGCGCGUAGGCGGCCUUCUAAGUCGAACGUGAAAUCCCCGGGCUCAACCCGGGAACUGCGUCCGAUACUGGAAGGCUUGAAUCCGGGAGAGGGAUGUGGAAUUCCAGGUGUAGCGGUGAAAUGCGUAGAUAUCUGGAGGAACACCGGUGGCGAAGGCGACAUCCUGGACCGGUAUUGACGCUGAGGCGCGAAAGCCAGGGGAGCAAACGGG
rnacentral:rRNA from 1 species